rnacentral:tRNA from 1 species
AGAGACUUAGUUAAAUAAUAGAACGAGGGCCUUCAAAGCCCCAGGUGGGGGUGUAAAUCCCCCAGCCUCUG